AUUGAACGCUGGCGGCAGGCCUAACACAUGCAAGUCGAGCGCGAAAGCACUUCGGUGUGAGUAGAGCGGCGGACGGGUGAGUAACGCGUAAGAAUCUACCUAGUAGUGGGGGACAACUCGAGGAAACUCGAGCUAAUACCGCAUACGCCCUACGGGGGAAAGCGGGGGACCUUCGGGCCUCGCGCUAUUAGAUGAGCUUGCGUUGGAUUAGCUUGUUGGUGAGGUAAUGGCUCACCAAGGCUACGAUCCAUAGCUGGUCUGAGAGGAUGAUCAGCCACACCGGGACUGAGACACGGCCCGGACUCCUACGGGAGGCAGCAGUGGGGAAUAUUGCGCAAUGGGCGAAAGCCUGACGCAGCCAUGCCGCGUGUGUGAAGAAGGCCUUAGGGUUGUAAAGCACUUUCAAUUGGGAGGAAAAGUUAACGACUAAUACUCGUUAGCCUUGACGUUACCUUUAGAAGAAGCACCGGCUAACUCCGUGCCAGCAGCCGCGGUAAUACGGAGGGUGCAAGCGUUAAUCGGAAUUACUGGGCGUAAAGCGCGCGUAGGCGGUUUUUUAAGUCGGAUGUGAAAGCCCCGGGCUCAACCUGGGAACUGCAUCCGAUACUGGAAGACUAGAGUGCGAGAGAGGGAGGUAGAAUUCCAUGUGUAGCGGUGAAAUGCGUAGAUAUAUGGAGGAAUACCAGUGGCGAAGGCGGCCUCCUGGCUCGACACUGACGCUGAG
rnacentral:rRNA from 1 species